UACGUAGGGACCAAGCGUUGUUCGGAUUUACUGGGCGUAAAGGGCGCGUAGGCGGCAAUUCAAGUCAGUUGUGAAAUCUCCGAGCUUAACUCGGAACGGUCAACUGAUACUGCUUUGCUAGAGUACAGAAGGGGCAAUCGGAAUUCUUGGUGUAGCGGUGAAAUGCGUAGAUAUGUGGAGGAAUACCGAUGGCGAAGGCAGCCCCCUGGGAUAACACUGACGCUCAUGCACGAAAGCGUGGGGAGCAAACAGG
rnacentral:rRNA from 1 species